GAUGAACGCUGGCGGCGUGCCUAAUACAUGCAAGUCGAGCGAACGGACGAGAAGCUUGCUUCUCUGAUGUUAGCGGCGGACGGGUGAGUAACACGUGGAUAACCUACCUAUAAGACUGGGAUAACUUCGGGAAACCGGAGCUAAUACCGGAUAAUAUUUUGAACCGCAUGGUUCAAAAGUGAAAGACGGUCUUGCUGUCACUUAUAGAUGGAUCCGCGCUGCAUUAGCUAGUUGGUAAGGUAACGGCUUACCAAGGCAACGAUGCAUAGCCGACCUGAGAGGGUGAUCGGCCACCCUGGACCUGAGACACGGUCCAGCCUCCUACGGGAGGCAGCAGUAGGGAAUCUUCCGCAAUGGGCGAAAGCCUGACGGGGCAACGCCGCGUGAGUGAUGAAGGUCUUCGGAUCGUAAAACUCUGUUAUUAGGGAAGAACAUAUGUGUAAGUACCUGUGCACAUCUUGACGGUACCUAAUCAGAAAGCCACGGCUAACUACGU
rnacentral:rRNA from 1 species